CACGUAGGGCGCAAGCGUUGUCCGGAAUUAUUGGGCGUAAAGAGCUCGUAGGCGGUCUGUUGCGUCCGCUGUGAAAUCUCGGGGCUUAACCCCGAGCCUGCAGUGGAUACGGGCAGACUAGAGGUAGGUAGGGGAGAAUGGAAUUCCCGGUGUAGCGGUGAAAUGCGCAGAUAUCGGGAGGAACACCGGUGGCGAAGGCGGUUCUCUGGGCCGUACCUGACGCUGAGGAGCGAAAGCGUGGGGAGCGAACAGG
rnacentral:rRNA from 1 species